UACGAAGGGGGCUAGCGUUGUUCGGAAUCACUGGGCGUAAAGGGCGCGUAGGCGGCCGUUUAAGUCGGGGGUGAAAGCCUGUGGCUCAACCACAGAAUUGCCUUCGAUACUGGACGGCUUGAGUCCGGAAGAGGUCAGUGGAACUGCGAGUGUAGAGGUGAAAUUCGUAGAUAUUCGCAAGAACACCAGUGGCGAAGGCGGAUCUCUGGGCAUUACCUGACGCUGAGGAGCGAAAGUGUGGGGAGCGAACAGG
rnacentral:rRNA from 1 species